rnacentral:rRNA from 1 species
CCCUUAGAUGUUCUGGGCCGCACGCGUGCUACACUGAGUGGAUCAGCGGGUCAGGUUGCGCGAAAGCGUUUCCUAAUCUUUAAAUCCGCUCGUGAUGGGGAUUGACGGUUGCAAUUUUCUGUCAUGAACGAGGAAUACCUUGUAAGCGCGGGUCAUCAUCCCGCGCUGAAUACGUCCUUGCCCUUUGUACACACCGCCCGUCGCUCCUACCGAUUGAGUGGUCCGGUGAGGCUUUGGGAUCUGAGCGGAAAGAGCGUUUCGCUGUUUCUGCUCGGAAAACUCAGUCGAACCUUAUCAUUUAGAGGAAGGAGAAGUCGUAACA